AUGAUUUCCUUCUGUUUCCAACUUUUUCUUUGCACUCUUGUUGGGUUUGAUGAUUUGGGCUUCGACGUACUCGGUACCGCUGUUAUCGCUAUUCGAGCGUCGAUUCGCUUUUUUCACACGACUCCGUCUAAUAGCUAUCGCACUCCGAUCCAGCAGCCACCCCAAACGAUGACAACAACGUCCCUUCCUCCAUUCACGCUGGAACUGCACCUUGACGCACACAAAGGAGACGCCCUCCCUCCAAGAACACCUAUCUUAUAG